CGAACGGGUGAGUAACGCGUGAGGAACCUGCCUCAAAGAGGGGGACAACAGUUGGAAACGACUACUAAUACCGCAUAAGCCCACGGUGCCGCAUGGCACAGAGGGAAAAGGAGCAAUCCGCUUUGAGAUGGCCUCGCGUCCGAUUAGCUAGUUGGUGAGGUAACGGCCCACCAAGGCGACGAUCGGUAGCCGGACUGAGAGGUUGAACGGCCACAUUGGGACUGAGACACGGCCCAG
rnacentral:rRNA from 1 species